rnacentral:rRNA from 1 species
AGUCGUAACAAGGUUUCCGUAGGUGAACCUGCGGAAGGAUCAUUACCUAGAGUUUGCAGACUUCGGUCUGCUACCUCUUACCCAUGUCUUUUGAGUACCUUCGUUUCCUCGGCGGGUCCGCCCGCCGGUUGGACAACAUUCAAACCCUUUGCAGUUGCAAUCAGCGUCUGAAAAAACAUAAUAGUUACAACUUUCAACAACGGAUCUCUUGGUUCUGGCAUCGAUGAAGAACGCAGCGAAAUGCGAUAAGUAGUGUGAAUUGCAGAAUUCAGUGAAUCAUCGAAUCUUUGAACGCACAUUGCGCCCCUUGGUAUUCCAUGGGGCAUGCCUGUUCGAGCGUCAUUUGUACCUUCAAGCUCUGCUUGGUGUUGGGUGUUUUGUCUCGCCUCCGCGUGUAGACUCGCCUUAAAACAAUUGGCAGCCGGCGUAUUGAUUUCGGAGCGCAGUACAUCUCGCGCUUUGCACUCAUAACGACGACGUCCAAAAGUACAUUUUUACACUCUUGACCUCGGAUCAGGUAGGGAUACCCGCUGAACUUAAGCAUAUCAAUAAAAGUCG